AUGUCCAAUAUCCUCUUUCCAAAAAAAUUCCUUGCGAAGCUCACGGCAAUCAUUCGUAAUUUUUGGUGGGUUGGUGUUAGAGAGGAAGCUAGUGCAAGAGCUUUAUGUCUUAGGGCUUGGAAAGAUAUUUGUAUUCCUAAAAAAGAAGGUGGAUUGGGAAUCAAAAACAUGUUGACUAUGAAUCAAGGUCUCCUUCUUGCGGCUGCCUGGAGACUUGCUGAAAAUCCAGAAAGCCAAGUCUAUCAAGUUCUCCGUGCUAAGUAUUUUCCUGAUUCUUCCAUUUGGAGAGCUACUCCGAAUACUCCGAAAUCUGCUUUCUGGACUUCUAUUCUCAAGGUCUUGCCGAUGCUCAAGGAGCAUUCUUUUUAUCAGAUCACCCAAGGCAACAUUUCUAUUUGGAGCUCACCUUGGUGUACCACUUGGGAGAACAUAUAUGAUCACCUUAUUGUCCAGCAUAGUGCUUUUAUUUACCCGGCUAAGGUCUCUGAUCUUUGGCUUCCAGGCCAAAAACUUUGGAAUUCUGAGUUCAUUACUAACCUUUUUCAGGAACCGACUGCUUCGGCUAUUAUUGCAACUCCUAUAGUUCUUGAUGAUAGUAGGGAUAUCCUUUGUUGGAAGCCCACUCCUUCUCGUAAGUGCAAUUCUAAGAGUACAUAUAAGUUGUGUUUACAACAAAUUCAUAAUUUGCAGGUAAAUCAACCAAGACAGGUGAACCAAUCAACCAAAGAUAUUUUGCAGCAGGUCUGGAAGCACAAAUUCAUGGCUCCAAGGGUUAAAACUUUUGCGUGGCGCUUACUUAGGCAUGCUCUCCCAACUGGUCUUAGAGCUGGCAGGUUUUCCUCUCAUAUUUCUUCUACAUGCUCUAGAUGUGAUUUA
rnacentral:rRNA from 1 species